ACGUCAUGACUUCAAAAAUUUUGGCACAUUUGGCAUGUUCGGCUGAACUAAUUUAAAGGCACUAAGCCGUGGUCGCCAUGGUGCUCCAUUCCCACGAAGUGCAUGUCACUACGUUCUUAAAGGCAACUCCGUGCAAUUGCAAAAAAAAAAAAAAAAGUAAUUCAGAAGCAAUGAAAACAGAAUGGAGAGUACACUCCGGCGAUGUCUCACAUUCUAACUAGUGGUGCGAAGUUGGAACCAGGUUGUGCAGUCACAAGAAUGGCAAGAUUCUAGCAGUGGCUCUUUUUCCACGGCCCGAGGACCCCAUCAAGGUCUGCCCUGCAUCUCACACCUCCAUGACCUCCGACUCCCCAGUAUCUCUGAAAGCACGGGCCUCACAGGGCCUGGCUCUCCUCUCACCGUCACUGCACUUAUACUGGCAGAGCCCGUCCUCGCCCCCCAGGAGAUCCAAGGCGGCGUUCAGGUGCCACAUGUUCCAGGUUUGCUGGGCUGGGAGAAGAUGCUGGUUUUAAAACAUGCCACAAAUUCCUUGACACCCUUCUAUCAAAAAAUGGAUUGUAUUUCCUCCCCUUGAAGGUCAGGUUUUUUUUGAUGGAAGUGAGGCUAAAUGACUGCCAGGGCUGGGCCGUCUCUGCACGGUCUUCUGGGACAUUUGUCAGCUGCUGUGUAAGACGUCUGGCUGCCCUGAGUCACCAUGUUGAAAAGCGACAUAAAGAGAGAUGUCCAGAAAGCUGUGUGAGUUCUCCUGGCCCAGGCACCAGACAACAUAAUAAAGAAGCCUUCAAGAUGACGUCUGCCUCAGCCCUGCCUGAGGGAAACUACAUGAAAGGAAGGAUGUAAGAACUGGCCAGCUGAGCCUGGACAAUCCCCAGAUGCCUGAGCAAAGUAAAACAGCCAUUAUUUAAAUCAGUUUUUUAGCAUUCUGUCUUACACAGCCAUUGAUAGCCAAAUACUCUCUUGCAUUCAGUGAAAAAAGGAAUUAAAAAUAUGGGCAGCCUGGGAGGGGAGGAUGAGUUACUGUUUAAUGAGUGCAGCCUUUCAGUUUAGGAAGGUGAAAAUUUUCUGGAGAUGGAGAUAGUUGCGCAAUAAUGUGAAUGUACUUAGUGCCACUGAAUAGUACACUUCAAAAUGGUUACAUUUUUGUUACAUAUAUUGUACAAAAAUUUUUUUAAAAGGAAAAAAAUCUGGGCAGUAGCUGAUUUUGGAAUAUGUGCAGAAAUGAGCAUUUCUAUUAUUACAACAAUUGGCUUCUAUCUGGGAGUGGACCCCAGGUAUUGAAUGUAAUAUUUAUGUGAAAAAUAUACCUCUGUCUUCAGGAUGAUAGCUGAGCUUUAAAAAAAUAAAUUAAUGAAGAUAUCAAA